UAUAAUCUUACCAAACAAUACAGCGCACAGCAAACGGAGAUUGCUGUCUUACAACAGCCCCUUAAUCAUGUCUGUAAGAGAUUCACAUGGCGUUGUCAAGUGUUUUCACAUCAGGAGCCUUGGAGCUGGACUUGUGGACUAUUUCUGCACCUGUUGGAGACUUUGACCUUCUGCAGGACUGGUGCUGAGGAGGAUUACACAGAACUUCAUCUGCUGCACCUUUCAGAAGGCAGCAGGGAGGACGCUGGAUGACAGCUCUCCAGCUCUCCCACUCCUCAGGUCUGGGACUUCGGCUGUGUCCCCUGACAGCAGGUACCAGAAUCAGCAAAUUACUCAUCCUCUGUGACAGCGAGGCAGCCCAGGAAAUUGCAGUUUGUCUUGAGCUUGUUAUUUGGUUCCCAAGUUUUUUGCUCAGUUAUUCUCCCAAAUUCCACCCU